GAAAUGCGAUAAUUAAUGUGAAUUGCAGAAUUCAGUGAAUCAUCGAGUCUUUGAACGCACAUUGCGCCCCCUGGUAUUCCGGGGGGCAUGCCUGUCCGAGAGUCAUUGCUGCCCUCAAGCACGGCUUGUGUGUUGGGCUUCCGUCCCUGGCAACGGGGACGGGCCCAAAAGGCAGUGGCGGCACCAUGUCUGGUCCUCGAGCGUAUGGGGCUUUGUCACCCGCUCCCGUAGGUCCAGCUGGCAGCUAGCCUCGCAACCAAUCUUUUUAACCAGGUUGACCUCGGAUCAGGUAGGGAUACCCGCUGAACUUAAGC
rnacentral:misc_RNA from 1 species